CAAUGAGGUGUGUUGUGAUUGGCCCCGCUUGCAGAUAGGGGGAGAUCGCGAAUGUCAGGUCUUCCCAGUAUGAAAACGUGAUGCAAUGGAUUAAUGCCAUCGACAGCCAUCCACAUCGUUAAGCCAUCGACAGCCAUCCACAUCGUUAAGCCAUCGACAACCAUCCACAUCGUUAAGCCAUCGACAACCAUCCACAUCGUUAAGCCCUCGACAACCAUCCACAUCGUUAAGGCAUCGACAACCAUCCAUAUCGUUAAGGCAUCGACAACCAUCCACAUCGUUAAGCCAUCGACAACCAUCCACAUCGUUAAGGCAUCGACAACCAUCCAUACCGUUAAGCCCUGACCAACUAACGUGCUGUUUCCCAUUUAACAACAGCAACAGGAAUAAAUGAUGCUCAACUGA